rnacentral:lncRNA from 1 species
GUUUAACAAAAGGAGCCUUGAUGUGACUCUCUCCUUGGCGAGAGACCUGCCAUGCCAGGCUGGGGAUCGGGGUUCUCUACCCUUAUGUGGGAAAACAGAUGUUAUGCCACAGUCCUGGGAGCUCUUUCUGGAAUGGUUGACAACAGGCUUGCUGGGACAGAGUCCUUCAGCUCAACAGGGCCGGGAUAGAAGUUAUGCUUGUCUGCAGAGUACAGAUGAGGGAACAGGGACUGAGCUGCUUUGCAGGGUGUGAUGGUAAGUUUUAUGUGUCAACUUGACAGGCUGCCUAGAUAGCUGGUAAAAAAUCAUUUCUCAGGGUGUGGGGUGUUUCUGGAAAAGAUUUAACUCAGUGGACUAAGAAGAUUCACCCUCACCAAUGAAGAUAGGUGUCAUCCAAGUUACUGAGGGCCUGAUUAGAACAAAAUGUGGAGGGAGGCCGGAUUUGUUCCCUGCUUAAACUAAGACUUCCAUCUUCUCCCCAAGUCGUUGCUGCUCCUGGUCCUCUGCCUUCUGAUUCAGACUGAGACUUAUACAUGGGCUUCCCCAGUUCUCAGUCCAUAGGGCCUGAACAGGAACCAUACCACCUAUGUUCUUGGGCCUCUAGCUGUCAGAUGGCAGACUGUGGGGUUUCUCAGCCCCCAUCAUUGUGAGAGCCAACUCCUCUCUUUCUGUGUGUCUGCACAUCUCUUUUUUGUUCUUUUUCUCUGGAGAACCCUGAUCAACUCAUGAAGUCAUCCAGGAAGGGGAAAACAUCAUGGGCCUGGGCCUAUGCCCCAUUCCUGGCUGCUGUGGUGACAAACUGCUCCACUUUGUCUGAGACGGAAGGUUUCUGGGAGAAUAUGGAACAUUCACUGUAAACACCAGAGUGCCCUGGGCAAACUAGGUAAACAACAGGUGGCUGAAGAUCUAUGCCUCCUAAACAAAUGGGAAGUUCUGAAUGGGAAACUUAUAUCAGUGGCUGGACCCCUUUCCCAGGACCUCCUGUCACCACUGGCCCUGCCACUACAGGAUCCAUGACUAUUGCUGUGCAUGUACCUGCUGGAAGCCACCGAC